GUUCACGGGAAAUAUGUCGGGCGCGAAAGGGAUGGCAGUUAUGGGUUUCACCACUGGAAGCUUGAUUUAUAAUGUUGAAAACGAAGAGAUAUAUUCACAUGUAGAAAAUAUAUAUAAUUUCCCCUUAAAUCUAAUAUUAAAAACAAAUACUGACUCAAUAACGGUCGAAUUUGGUGAUAAAGAUUUGGUCAAAAGUGGUUAUGUCCUAUCUGAAAUUAAUGGUAGGGCUAUCAAAUUAAUUUAUACCAAUAACCAAAGUGUUCUUGAUUAUCUAAAAGACAAAGCACAUUAUCCUGUUAGAUUAAAAUUCUCUUCCCCAAGAUUAAAAGCCAAUGACAAGAUAAUGUUGGCUAGUAUGUUUCAUUCUCUGUAUGCAAUAAUAUCUCAAUUAUCUCCAGAAAAUAAUUGUAAAGGUAUAGAAUCAAUUGAAACAGAUAUAUAUAAAUUGUGCUGCUUUCAAACCCUUACAAGCACAAAAUUUUUACUUAUAGUUGAUAACAAACAAAAUUGCACUGAUUUAUUAUUGAAUAAAUUAUAUGAACUUUAUGCAGAUUAUGUGCUUAAAAACCCAUUCUAUUCUCUUGAAAUGCCUAUAAGAAAAAAUUUCAGUGUGUUUUGUGUAUUCCACAAAUGUUGACAUUUAGAUAUAGCAACCUUAUACACUUUCCUAUAAUCCUCAUUGUUUAGAAGUAUUUUAUUGGUAUCUUGUGUUGCCACUAAGUUUAAUGUGUGACAGGAACAUCUUCUAUGCCUGGGAAGUAAUAAGUAUCGCUUCUUUCUGAAUAUACAGUAACUCGCGUUUCUUUUUUCACAACUUAACGAGUAACGAUAUCGCUUUCCUUUUCUUGACGUAACGAGUUACACGUUUCUUUUUUGAAGUGUGAAUUAUUUGAUAAACAUGUUCAAUAUCUGAUGGAGCAAGCACGAAAAAUUUAAAGCUGUUAUAAGUCUAUUAUAUUUAUUAAUUUGUUUGUAUUUUUGAUAAAUUAAUACAGAUAUAAAAUUAUAUUCUGUAUCAUGAUUCUUGAAUAUGUAAUUAAUUAUUUUGUGAGAAUUAAAUAUGUAUUUGAAGAUAAAAAUUAGGGGAAAAUGGGGAAAUUAAAAAAAAAUGAAGGAGACUUAGGAAUUCUUGCAAAUAUUAAUUUAUUUAUGUUAUCAAAUAAUA